GCACCCGUAGCUCAGUGGUAGUAGCGUCUGUCUUAUAAACAGAAGGUCCUUGGUUCGAUCCCAAGCGGGUGCACAA
rnacentral:tRNA from 1 species